rnacentral:rRNA from 1 species
UAGCCGUAAACGAUACUCGCUAGGUGUCGGCCACGGUGCGACCGUUGUCGGUGCCGUAGGGAAGCCGUGAAGCGAGCCACCUGGGAAGUACGGCCGCAAGGCUGAAACUUAAAGGAAUUGGCGGGGGAGCACAACAACGGGUGGAGCUUGCGGUUUAAUUGGAUUCAACGCCGGAAAACUCAUCGGGAGCGACAGCAGUAUGAUUGCCAGGUUGAUGACCUUGCUUGACGAGCUGAGAGGUGGUGCAUGGCGUAGUCGUGU